UUGUGAAUUGGCUGGUGAAUGUUUUAAUUCACCAGGUGGAGCUGUUACAAAUGUUAAUAUAACUAUUUGGCCUAAAGUUGAUAACAGAACGGAAGAGACGAGGUAUGUGUUUGUAAAAUUUCAAGCUGUAAAACCCUUGGCGCCUGGUCAGUUUUAUCUCUACGUGCAUACAGUAGAUGGUGUUCCUGUUGAUUUAUCCCAGUAUAUAAGUGGAACCUAUAAAGGAAAAUACAGUAACACAUUUUUAAUUAUUACCCAGAAAUCAGAUGAUUGUCACCCGGAUGUUAAACCGUGUGAAACGUGGAAACCCGGAAAAUACACGAUUGAUUAUAAAUGGUGUAAUGGAAAAUGUGGAACCAAGGCGCCAAUCAGUGAAGUUUAUUUCCAAGGAAAGACAACUUUUACAAUUACA